rnacentral:sRNA from 1 species
CCGGGUGCCAAUUCCGGGUCCGGCUGGACAUAGAGGGCGCCGGCUCUCCAUUCCCGGCGCUUCUCAUGCCCAAAUUGCUUCAGUUGGAGGAUUUGGAGAUGAGAA